rnacentral:lncRNA from 1 species
UACUGAUGUGCGAGUGUUUCGGUAACAAUUCAUGGAACAGGUUUUUGUCCUCUUCAUAUCAGCAUAGUUUUGAUGCUGUAUGCUUCCUGCCUCUUCAAAGGAUGGUUACAUGAAGUUAUUGGCAGUUGGUUACUUGCUGAAGUUAGUCGCGGUGUUACACGUUACGCGGUUUGGCCCUGGAUUAAAUAAAGUGCCGUUCCGGGGAUUGAUAAUGCAGAUUUUGACCAAGAUGGCACCGUCUAACGUGAUAAACACGGCGGCUCGACUUCUGUUCGGGCCGGAAUCGGUGGCUCCUCUUUCGAGGAGCAGAAAGUUGGCAGAGCGAUAGCGGAACCGGGGAAGAAAGCAGCGGUGAAACCGACCCAGGAACCACCGCCCGUGAUCGAGGAGCCAACGGCAGACAACCCAAAGCCGAAGAAAGAAGAUGCGGAUGCCUACAGAGUCAGGAUAGUUUGGAGGAACGUCAUGCUCUUCGCCUACCUCCACCUGGGAGCUAUCUACGGCUUCUACUUGAUUUUCACAUCCGCCAAGAUCCAGACGUCUAUUUUCGGUGAGUUCCUACGCGCUUUUACGCCGCACAAUGGACCGAAUCGAGAGAAGAGGUCGGACAUAAUAUUACAUAGAGUACAUAGAGUCGUAAUGUAAGUGGGAGAGCUGGCGCCAUGUUCUGCUCGACGAGUUCCGAGCCAGGUCACUCGAGGUCACUUUUUCGAUACAUAUUCGAUCCAAAAUGGCGGUGGAAUAUGGCCGGGUCCCCCCUGUAUCGCAAACAAUCGAUUAUGUAUCGAAGAAGGGGCCCGGCGCCGCACAGGAAUCUCGGAAUUCGGGACCUGGAAAAUGCUUAAAAGUGGCGCCAGCUCUCCCACUUACAUUUAACGACUCUAUGUACAUACUCUAUGAAAUAUUAUUACUAAAACUGCAAAUUCAGAUGUUUAUCUCGUCAAAUUUUAAAUUUUGAGGGGUGACUCUGGAAGAAAAUUUUACGAAAAAACCAAUGGGACCAUUUUUAAGACCUCCAAAUUUUGUAAAAAUUGAGUUAUGAGCUUUUGAAGUUUCCAAAUUUCGUCCGACCUCCUCAUUGACUCGAUCCACUGUGCGCGUGUGCGCCGUUACGCUUUGAAGUAAUGGCACCAGAGGCGAAUCCAGCAAUUUGGCAACACCGAAUUCCCUCCAUCGAAACUUAUGCUGAAUAAUCGAUCCCUGUCGAAGUAUCUGGCCCCUCCAAGAAUCGAUACAUUUCCGUUUAAAUGGAGGAAAUCCGGUGUUGCCAAAUUGCUGGAUCCGCCGAUGAAUGACACGGAGGGUAUGAUCAUCGAUGUGUCGCUUGCUGAUUACAUAUGAUCACAAAAAUUUGGCUCUAGUUGAGUUUUUACAGCAGUUACAGCCGUAAGAAACCAAACAAGAUGACCGCUGGACGCAACCCUUUUCCUUGGCCA